GGCACCCGUACCCAGCGUCAGCCGGGUGGGAAAAUCAGGCGAGGCAGGAGGCUCUGCACGGUGCUAGGCCUCGACACCCACCACGUGAAUCUAAGGUGCUCGCUGACAGCACCUGCCCCAACAGUCUGUGAAGGCUAUACGGGGGAUAUUUUGUCUUUGGUGCAAGGGAGUGCCGUGUGUCAAACAGAAAUCUUCAAAAGUCAUAUAGCACUGCUGCUGCAUGAGAGAGCGACGUGACUAGCGUCCUGAUGACCGCCGUGGCUGCUGCUGCUGUCGUCGUCGUAUCAUGAGGGUUGAAUACAAAGGUGAAGACCACAGACUCAGUGUGCACAGAAGGGAGAGAUUGUUCUCACGGAAGGAAGAUAUUGUUCUCGAAUAACUUACGUUGAGGCUCUAUAAACCGAGGCACGUUGUGAGCAAUGCAGACAAACCACUGCACUACGCCCCCACCGUCUAUGCUCCCCGCCUACACUUACCCGCAUUGACCAGUGUGGUGAAGUAUGGUCAAAUAACUCCCAAUUUCUGUUCUUAGGUUUUUUCGGUAAAGUCACGUAGGUAAAACAUUAAAAUUAAUAAAAGUAAAAUAAAAUAAAUAUCACGACGUUUCGGAGGCAACACAAGCUUCCGUCUUCAGGUGGAACCAGGUGGAACCGUCACAGCCACGACAGCUGUAUCAAAAAAAUGAGAGAUUGCA